rnacentral:rRNA from 1 species
UACGGAGGAUGCGAGCGUUAUCCGGAUUUAUUGGGUUUAAAGGGCGCGCAGGCGGCGCGGCAAGUCGGCGGUGAAAUGUCCCGGCUCAACCGGGGAGCUGCCGCUGAUACUGUUGUGCUGGAGUGCGGACGGCGCCGGCGGAAUGAGUGGUGUAGCGGUGAAAUGCAUAGAUAUCACUCAGAACACCGAUCGCGAAGGCAGCUGGCGAGGCCGUAACUGACGCUGAGGCACGAAAGCGUGGGGAUCAAAC